rnacentral:rRNA from 1 species
GACGAACGCUGGCGGCGUGCCUAAUACAUGCAAGUCGAACGCUGAAGAGAGGAGCUUACUCUUCUUGGAUGAGUUGCGAACGGGUGAGUAACGCGUAGGUAACCUGCCUUGUAGCGGGGGAUAACUAUUGGAAACGAUAGCUAAUACCGCAUAACAAUGGAUGACACAUGUCAUUUAUUUGAAAGGGGCAAUUGCUCCACUACAAGAUGGACCUGCGUUGUAUUAGCUAGUAGGUGAGGUAAUGGCUCACCUAGGCGACGAUACAUAGCCGACCUGAGAGGGUGAGCGGCCACACUGGGACUGAGACACGGCCCAGACUCCUACGGGAGGCAGCAGUAGGGAAUCUUCGGCAAUGGGGGCAACCCUGACCGAGCAACGCCGCGGGAGUGAAGAAGGUUUUCGGAUCGUAAAGCUCUGUUGUAAGUCAAGAACGGGUGUGAGAGUGGAAAGUUCACACUGUGACGGUAGCUUACCAGAAAGGGACGGCUAACUACGUG